rnacentral:rRNA from 1 species
UACGUAGGAUGCAAGCGUUGGUCCGGAUUUACUGGGCGUAAAGUCGCGCGCAGGCGGCAUGGCAAGUAAGGUGUGAAAUCUCCUGGCUCAACCGGGAGGGUGCAACUUUAGACUGCCAAGCUUGAGGUCGGUAGAGGGGGGUAGAAUUGCUGGUGUAGCGGUGAAAUGCGUAGAGAUACAGCAGGAAUACCCGUGGCGAAGGCGGCCCCCUGG